rnacentral:rRNA from 1 species
UACGUAGGGUGCGAGCGUUGUCCGGAAUUAUUGGGCGUAAAGGGCUCGUAGGCGGUCUGUCGCGUCGGGAGUGAAAACUACGGGGCUUAACUCCGAGCCUGCUUCUGAUACGGGCAGACUAGAGGUAUGCAGGGGAGAAUGGAAUUCCUGGUGUAGCGGUGAAAUGCGCAGAUAUCAGGAGGAACACCGGUGGCGAAGGCGGUUCUCUGGGCAUGACCUGACGCUGAGGAGCGAAAGUGUGGGGAGCGAACAGG